UACGUAGGGCGCAAGCGUUGUCCGGAAUUAUUGGGCGUAAAGAGCUCGUAGGUGGUGUGUCGCGUCUGCCGUGAAAGCCCGGGCUUAACUCCGGGUCUGCCGGUGGAUACGGGCAGACUAGAGGCAGGUAGGGGAGAACGGAAUUCCCGGUGUAGCGGUGAAAUGCGCAGAUAUCGGGAGGAACACCGGUGGCGAAGGCGGUUCUCUGGGCAGUAACUGACGCUGAGGAGCGAAAGCGUGGGGAGCGAACAGG
rnacentral:rRNA from 1 species